CACAACAUCAUCCAACAUAUUGACGUUUAGCUGACCGAAAGAAACUAUACAUAUUUAGCUAGGAAAUCUAGGAAAUCUAGGAACAACAAAAUAGACCGGUCGACAUGUAUGAUUAAGGAUAAAGAAUACACUAACUUUCAAACUUUUUUGAUGCUAUCUUGCCUGACCACAUAUAUUGUCAACAUGGAAAUUCUGGUUUCUGAAAUCAGUUUCCUUGCUCAGUAGAACACCUAUUAUGAAAUCUGUUUGUUCCCCAUACACACAUAUGGAAUGGCAGCUCCCUGACACGAAAUGAACAUUGUCUGAUGGCAAGAAAGUUUGAAAUAGCGCGUGUGGGGGUAGCAAGAUUGAUUAGAACGCAC
rnacentral:lncRNA from 1 species